rnacentral:rRNA from 1 species
AGAGUUUGAUCCUGGCUCAGGAUGAACGCUGGCGGCGUGCCUAAUACAUGCAAGUCGAGCGAAUGAUGAGGAGCUUGCUCCUCUGAUUUAGCGGCGGACGGGUGAGUAACACGUGGGUAAUCUGCCUGUAAGACGGGGAUAACUCCGGGAAACCGGGGCUAAUACCGGAUAACAAAAGAAGAAGCAUUUCUUCUUUUUGAAAGUCGGUUUCGGCUGACACUUACAGAUGAGCCCGCGGCGCAUUAGCUAGUUGGUGAGGUAACGGCUCACCAAGGCGACGAUGCGUAGCCGACCUGAGAGGGUGAUCGGCCACACUGGGACUGAGACACGGCCCAGACUCCUACGGGAGGCAGCAGUAGGGAAUCUUCGGCAAUGGGCGAAAGCCUGACCGAGCAACGCCGCGUGAGCGAUGAAGGCCUUCGGGUCGUAAAGCUCUGUUGUUAGAGAAGAACAAGUACGAGAGUAACUGCUCGUACCUUGACGGUACCUAACCAGAAAGCCACGGCUAACUACGUGCCAGCAGCCGCGGUAAUACGUAGGUGGCAAGCGUUAUCCGGAAUUAUUGGGCGUAAAGCGCGCGCAGGCGGUCUCUUAAGUCUGAUGUGAAAGCCCACGGCUCAACCGUGGAGGGUCAUUGGAAACUGGGAGACUUGAGUGCAGGAGAGAAAAGUGGAAUUCCACGUGUAGCGGUGAAAUGCGUAGAGAUGUGGAGGAACACCAGUGGCGAAGGCGGCUUUUUGGCCUGUAACUGACGCUGAGGCGCGAAAGCGUGGGGAGCAAACAGGAUUAGAUACCCUGGUAGUCCACGCCGUAAACGAUGAGUGCUAGGUGUUGGGGGGUUCCACCCUCAGUGCUGAAGUUAACACAUUAAGCACUCCGCCUGGGGAGUACGACCGCAAGGUUGAAACUCAAAGGAAUUGACGG